CCUACGGGAGGCAGCAGUGGGGAAUAUUGCACAAUGGGGGAAACCCUGAUGCAGCGACGCCGCGUGAGUGAAGAAGUAUUUCGGUAUGUAAAGCUCUAUCAGCAGGGAAGAUAAUGACGGUACCUGACUAAGAAGCCCCGGCUAACUACGUGCCAGCAGCCGCGGUAAUACGUAGGGGGCAAGCGUUAUCCGGAUUUACUGGGUGUAAAGGGAGCGUAGGUGGCAGGGCAAGUCAGAUGUGAAAACCCGGGGCUCAACCCCGGGAGUGCAUUUGAAACUGUCCAGCUGGAGUGCAGGAGAGGUAAGCGGAAUUCCUAGUGUAGCGGUGAAAUGCAUAGAUAUUAGGAGGAACACCAGUGGCGAAGGCGGCUUACUGGACUGUAACUGACACUGAGGCUCGAAAGCGUGGGGAGCAAACAGGAUUAGAUACCCUUGUAGU
rnacentral:rRNA from 1 species